UGCUUUCUCCACGCUUCUAGAAAUCAUCCAAGUAGAAGGCAAUUUUCAGAGUGUUAGCUCUAUCCUGAAAGGCUGAUCACAAAUAGGGAUGAGAUCCUUCUGACCAGUAACAGACAAACAUUUCUGCUCCAAAGAACGUGGAAACUUAGAACAUGACAGGAGGAGGAUGUAAUGAGCCUGGAGGAAAGUAGAAUGCCUGUUCUUUGUUUCAUCUUUGUCCCUAACUGUCCCCAGUCUCACUUGGAAUUUCACUAAAAGGUUGUGUGCCAGCAGAAGUAAGGAGGAGACUGCACACUUGCUUUCAUGAGCUGCACGAACUACUGAAAUAGAGACGUUAGGUGUGCUAUCUGUUGCCUCCUAAGAUACAGCAUUCUUCGUGGGUAGGUGAUAUUAUCCACACACAUGCUCCUCUUCAAAGCCAUGAAAACAUUUCAUUAGACCAUGAUAGCCAUCUUUUUCUCUACCAUACAACCAACUGGACCCAAACUGAAUGUGGCUUUAUAAUCUAUUUUUUUUGGAUAUGUAUCAAUAGGUGGAUAACUCUAAGCCCUAGUAUUCUCAGUGCUGCAAAUAAGCAAACAAAAAUGCAAAACGUAUUUGAGUUAUAACUGUGUUUUCUUCUGUAUUCUGAGUAUCAGUGACAGAAUCUCAAAAGUAAAAGUGUAGAUUGAGCCCCAGCUAAAAAUCACCAGUUAAACAAUAACUGUAGGGCACGCUUUCUCCUCCUAAAUGGAAUAAAAAUUAUUUUUAAUUUAAGAAUUAUUUUCUUUCAAGCCCUACUAGACCUUGUAAACUAAAUGUCAUCUGAAAAGAGGACAUAUUUAUCACUGCUCUUUUUAAAUUUAUAUGUAUUUUAUCGUAUUUUUUGAGAUAAGGUCUUACUGUGUUGUCCAGGCUGGUCACAAACUCAAGUAAUUUUCUGGCCUCAGCCUCAGGGGUAGGUAGGUCAAAGGCUGUAUGCCACCGUCACUGCCUGGAACCAGUACUGAAAAGCUGAAAGUGAGAAUACCACCAUUCUAAAAUAUGAAGUCAGGUAAAAACCGGUAAGUGGAGAUAACAAUUAAAAUAGAAAAUUAAAUCUCAAUUUUAAGUUUGUGUUCAAUCUAAUGCCAUUCACACCAAGCGUUGGAAGGAUUUUUUAUGCAAUUGAUAUAUAAAUAUUCAAGGGCUGGCCCAAUAAACUCCUAGGUGAGUGAAAUCCAUUAAAUAUUAACUAAAUUAAUAAAGUAUAUAUAAAAUAUUAGCGUGUUUUCCAAUGGCCAAACGUCAUAAUACAAAAUUUACAAAAGGACCAGAGCCCGGGAAACAGAAGCUCCUCAAGGUGAGGUAAGGCGGGAAUACAGCCCAAUCCUUCCAUGUUUGCACAAAAGCCAACUUUUAUGCCUAGAAAUGGGCAAAAAUGUCACUGGCUUUUAUCAGAGCAUUCAGAAACUUCAUGUUGAUUGAAAUGUACACAAAGGAGGCACUGAGGUAUGGACAGGAGACUGGGGCCCACUAGAGACCAUCUGUCAAAUAUUGGUGGAGUGCAGAGCAGGAAAACAAACACGAGCAAUUCACCACUUGCAAGCGUAUGAAGAAGGAAACCCCGCUUCGUCCCAUGAACUCGGAAGUUAUGGCCAAACAGAUAAACAG
rnacentral:lncRNA from 1 species